GACGAACGCUGGCGGCGUGCUUAACACAUGCAAGUCGAACGCUGAAGCUUGGUUCUUGCUCUGUGUGGAUGUGUGGCGAACGUGCGAGUAAUACGUGUGUAACCUGCCCUUUUCUCUGGUAUAUUCCUGGGACACUGGGUCUAAUACUGUAUACUCCCUUUCUCCGCUUGGUUGUGUGUGGAUUUUGUUUUGCUGGUUUUGGAUUGGCUCACUGCCUAUCAGUUUGUUUGUGGGGUAAUGGCUCACCAAGGCGACGACGGGUAGCCGGACUGAGAGGGUGACCGGCCACACUGGGACUGAGACACGGCCCAGACUCCAACGGGAGGCAGCAGUGGGGAAUAUUGCACAAUGGGCGGAAGCCUGAUGCAGCGAAGCCGCGUGAGGGAUGACGGCCUUCGGGUUGUAAACCUAUUUCAGCAGGGAAGAAGAGAAAGUGACGGUACGGGAAGAAGAAGCGCCGGCUAACUACGUG
rnacentral:rRNA from 1 species